AGGUGCAGUUUGGCUGGGUGCCUCUGCCUCAGGACUGCAGUUAAGGUGUCUGCUGGAGGCUGCGUCUCAUCUCAUGGCUUGUCUGGGAAAGGAUCUGCUUCCAAAGUCACUCACAUGGUUGCCAGCAGAAUUCAGUUCUUCAGGGGCUGUACUUCACCCCGUGGGCCUCUUCAUAGCACAGCUCACAACAUGGCAGCUGAAUUCCAUCAGCCCAAGCAGUUCUCCGAGGAGCCUGGUAAGGAUUGGUGUCCUACAGAUAAUAACGCUGACCCAGUAGAAUACUGCAGUAGAACAUAGGAGGAGAAGCAAGCCUCUGCCUGUGAUACACGUCAGAAGAAAGAAAAGAAAAAUGUCAUGGCACACGUGUUAUGCUUUUCCAGAUAGGGAAACAGAGGUUGUUUCCCUGCGUAGCUGAUUCCCUUGUUUUUGUGCCUUCACAGUUCCCUCCUCCAGAAAUGCCCUUCCUGCCCCUCUGCGUACACGCAGACCUGAAGACCUGGCAUGGUGCAGCUCAUGUGCCACCUUCCCCAGCAAACUAACCUGGAUUCCCUUCA